UCAAUGCCGUGGUGGUGGUUGGACCCUA
rnacentral:sRNA from 1 species